rnacentral:tRNA from 1 species
GGAAAUGUAGCUCAGUGGAAGAGUGUUACCUAGCAUGUGUAAGACCCUGGGUUCAAUCCCCAGCACCCUCC